rnacentral:rRNA from 1 species
ACGGGGCCCGCACAAGCGGAGGAACAUGUGGUUUAAUUCGAUGAUACGCGAGGAACCUUACCUGGGCUUAAAUGUAGAGUGCAUUUUUUAGGGAUAGAAAUUCCCUUCGGGGCUUUCUGCAAGGUGCUGCAUGGUUGUCGUCAGCUCGUGCCGUGAGGUGUCGGGUUAAGUCCCAUAACGAGCGCAACCCUUAUCGUUAGUUGCCAGCUGGUAAAGCAGGGGACUCUAGCGAAACUGCCACCGUAAGGUGAGAGGAAGGUGGGAUGACGUCAAAUCAGCACGGCCCUUAUGUCCAGGGCUACACACGUGUUACAAUGGCCGGCACAGAGGGCAGCUACCUGGUGACAGGAUGCUAAUCUUGAAAACCGGUCUCAGUUCGGAUCGAAGUCUGCAACUCGACUUCGUGAAGCUGGAUUCGCUAGUAAUCGCGCAUCAGCCAUGGCGCGGUGAAUACGUUCCCGGGCCUU